rnacentral:sRNA from 1 species
UUUAGCUGAAAUUGCCACAGAUCCAGAAGAUUAUGAUGGAAUUUGAGAAACAGUCAGAAAUUAUGGACAUGAAGGAAGAAAUGAUGAGUGAUGCUAUUGAUGAUGCUCUUGGUGAUGAAGAUGAUGAAGAGGAAAGUGACGCCAUUGUAUCGCAGGUGUUGGAUGAAUUAGGGUUACAGAUGGCUGAUGAAAUGUCAGGUUUGCCAAGUACAGG